rnacentral:rRNA from 1 species
ACGAACGCUGGCGGCGUGCUUAACACAUGCAAGUCGAACGAGAAUCUGUGGAAAGAGGAUUCGUCCAAUUGAAGCAGAGGACAGUGGCGGACGGGUGAGUAACGCGUGAGGAACCUGCCUUUCAGAGGGGGACAACAGUUGGAAACGACUGCUAAUACCGCAUGACACAUAGGUGUCGCAUGGCACUUAUGUCAAAGAUUUAUCGCUGAAAGAUGGCCUCGCGUCUGAUUAGCUAGUUGGUGAGGUAACGGCCCACCAAGGCGACGAUCAGUAGCCGGACUGAGAGGUUGAACGGCCACAUUGGGACUGAGACACGGCCCAGACUCCUACGGGAGGCAGCAGUGGGGAAUCUUCCGCAAUGGACGAAAGUCUGACGGAGCAACGCCGCGUGAACGAUGACGGCCUUCGGGUUGUAAAGUUCUGUUAUACGGGACGAAUGGUACGACGGUCAAUACCCGUCGUAAGUGACGGUACCGUAAGAGAAAGCCACGGCUAACUACGUG